AACAAGGCGUACCUGCGGACCUGCGGAAGGAUCAUUAAAAAGAGUGUGUACCCCUCUGUAAAAUGAGUGGGUUACCUCCCGUCCUUUGUUGACCUCUUAGGAGGUUAUUUUGAACUUUCUGCUUCGGUGGGGUUAAACCUACCGGAACACCCUCAAAUUCUUAUCAUUUAAAAAUUGUUCAGUCUGAUUUUUGUUAAUAAAAACAAAAAACUUUUAGCAACGGAUCUCAGAUCGGAAGAG
rnacentral:misc_RNA from 1 species